GACGAACGCUGGCGGCGUGCCUAAUACAUGCAAGUCGAACGCAGUUGCGAACGGGUGAGUAACGCGUAGGUAACUUCCUCAUAGCGGGGGAUAACUAUUUGAAACGAUAGCUAAUACCGCAUACUGUGAGAUGGACCUGCGUUGUAUUAGGUAGUUGGUGAGGUAAAGGCUCACCAAGGCGCCUAUCCAUUGCCGACCUGAGAGGGUGAUCGGCCACAAUGGGACUGGGACAACGCCCAGGAUCCCACGGGAGGCAGCAGUAGGGAAUCGUCGGCAAAGGACGGAAGGCUGAACGAGCAAAGCCGCGGGAGUGAAGAAGGUUUUCGGAUCGUAAAGCUCUGUUGGUAGAGAAGCGGUAACUAAACAGAAAGGGACGGCUAACUACGUGCCAGCAGCCGCGGUAAUUC
rnacentral:rRNA from 1 species